rnacentral:rRNA from 1 species
GAGGGGAAACGACGGGGAAGCUUGCUUCCCCGGGCGUCGACCGGCGCACGGGUGAGUAACGCGUAUCCAACCUGCCUCUGACUGAGGGAUAACCCGUCGAAAGUCGGCCUAAUACCUCAUGGCAUCGUCUGCGGGCAUCCAACGACGAUUAAAGAUUUCAUCGGUCAGGGAUGGGGAUGCGUCUGAUUAGCUAGUUGGCGGGGUAACGGCCCACCAAGGCUACGAUCAGUAGGGGUUCUGAGAGGAAGGUCCCCCACAUUGGAACUGAGACACGGUCCAAACUCCUACGGGAGGCAGCAGUGAGGGAUAUUGGUCAAUGGGCGGGAGCCUGAACCAGCCAAGUAGCGUGCAGGAAGACGGCCCUAUGGGUUGUAAACUGCUUUUAUGCGGGGAUAAAGUGAGGGACGUGUCCUUCAUUGCAGGUACCGCAUGAAUAAGGACCGGCUAAUUCCGUGCCAGCAGCCGCGGUAAUACGGAAGGUCCGGGCGUUAUCCGGAUUUAUUGGGUUUAAAGGGAGCGUAGGCCGCGGAUUAAGCGUGUUGUGAAAUGCAGGUGCUCAACGUCUGCACUGCAGCGCGAACUGGUCCACUAGAGUGUGCGCAACGCAGGCGGAAUUCGUCGUGUAGCGGUGAAUGCUUAGAUAUGACGAAGAACUCCGAUUGCGAAGGCAGCUUGCGGG